CAUGUACUCCCUCCAUCCCAUAUUAGUUGUCGAAAUAUUACAUGUAUCUAGACGCUUUUUAGACAUAGAUACAUCCAUAUUUGGACAAAUUUGAGACAACUAAUAUGGGACGGAGGGAGUAUAAU
rfam:Brachypodium distachyon strain Bd21 chromosome 3, whole genome shotgun sequence.